rnacentral:rRNA from 1 species
AUUGAACGCUGGCGGCAUGCCUUACACAUGCAAGUCGAACGGUAACAGAUCUUCGGAUGCUGACGAGUGGCGAACGGGUGAGUAAUACAUCGGAACGUGCCUAGUAGUGGGGGAUAACUACUCGAAAGAGUGGCUAAUACCGCAUGAGAUCUACGGAUGAAAGCAGGGGAUCGCAAGACCUUGUGCUACUAGAGCGGCCGAUGGCAGAUUAGGUAGUUGGUGGGAUAAAAGCUUACCAGGCCGACGAUCUGUAGCUGGUCUGAGGGGACGAUCAGCCACACUGGGACUGAGACACGGACCAGACUCCUACGGGAGGCAGCAGUGGGGAAUGUUGGACAAUGGGCGCAAGCCUGAUCCAGCAAUGCCGCGUGCAGGAUGAAGGCCUUCGGGUUGUAAACUGCUUUUGUACGGAACGAAAAGCCCUGGGUUAAUACCCUGGGGUCAUGACGGUACCGUAAGAAUAAGCACCGGCUAACUACGUGCCAGCCGCCGCCGUAACAC